GGUGAUUAAUUGAUUCUAAAGUGCCAUAUCUAACUCACAUUUUCACAAGUUAUUUUUGCUACCACCACCACCUCUAAUACUACCACCUAUUUUUAACAUCCAUUCUUUUCCCAUGUUCUAUUGGUGGUAGCACUACUGUGAUGACAGACACAUAUAUGUUGUUAAAACAAAUCACAAAUCUUAGUUAAUGCUAUGGAGGUAUUAAUUUUAACUAAUGACCAAGUCUUAUGGGACCUGGUCACCAUU
rnacentral:misc_RNA from 1 species